UACUCCUACGGGAGGCAGCAGUGGGGAAUAUUGGACAAUGGGCGCAAGCCUGAUCCAGCCAUACCGCGUGGGUGAAGAAGGCCUUCGGGUUGUAAAGCCCUUUUGUUGGGAAAGAAAAGCAUUCGGUUAAUACCCGGGUGUUCUGACGGUACCCAAAGAAUAAGCACCGGCUAACUUCGUGCCAGCAGCCGCGGUAAUACGAAGGGUGCAAGCGUUACUCGGAAUUACUGGGCGUAAAGCGUGCGUAGGUGGUGGUUUAAGUCCGUUGUGAAAGCCCUGGGCUCAACCUGGGAAUUGCAGUGGAUACUGGAUCACUAGAGUGUGGUAGAGGAUAGUGGAAUUUCCGGUGUAGCAGUGAAAUGCGUAGAGAUCGGAAGGAACACCUGUGGCGAAGGCGACUAUCUGGGCCAACACUGACACUGAGGCACGAAAGCGUGNGGAGCAAACAGGAUUAGAUACCCUGGUAGUCCACGCCCUAAACGAUGCGAACUGGAUGUUGGGUUCAACUUGNAACCCAGUAUCGAAGCUAACGCGUUAAGUUCGCCGCCUGGGGAGUACGGUCGCAAGACUGAAACUCAAAGGAAUUGACGGGGGCCCGCACAAGCGGUGGAGUAUGUGGUUUAAUUCGAUGCANCGCGAANAACCUUACCUGGUCUUGACNUCCACGGAACUUUCCAGAGAUGGAUUGGNGCCUUCGGGAACCGUGAGACAGGUGCUGCAUGGCUGUCGUCAGCUCGUGUCGUGAGAUGUUGGGUUAAGUCCCGCAACGAGCGCAACCCUUGUCCUUAGUUGCCAGCACGUAANGGUGGGAACUCUA
rnacentral:rRNA from 1 species